UGGGGAAUAUUGCACAAUGGGCGAAAGCCUGAUGCAGCAACGCCGCGUGAGUGAUGAAGGCCUUCGGGUUGUAAAGCUCUGUCUUUUGGGACGAUAAUGACGGUACCAAAGGAGGAAGCCACGGCUAACUACGUGCCAGCAGCCGCGGUAAUACGUAGGUGGCAAGCGUUGUCCGGAUUUACUGGGCGUAAAGGAUGCGUAGGCGGAUUUUUAAGUGAGAUGUGAAAACCCUAAGCUUAACUUGGGGACUGCAUUUCAUACUGGAAAUCCAGAGUGCGGGAGAGGAGAAUGGAAUUCCUAGUGUAGCGGUGAAAUGCGUAGAGAUUAGGAAGAACACCAGUGGCGAAGGCGAUUCUCUGGACCGUAACUGACGCUGAGGCAUGAAAGCGUGGGUAGCAAACAGGAUUAGAUACCCUGGUAGUCCACGCCGUAAACGAUGAGUACUAGGUGUAGGAGGUAUCGACCCCUUCUGUGCCGCAGUUAACACAAUAAGUACUCCGCCUGGGAAGUACGAUCGCAAGAUUAAAACUUAAAA
rnacentral:rRNA from 1 species